rnacentral:rRNA from 1 species
AGUGAACGCUGGCGGUAGGCCUAACACAUGCCAGUCGAACGGCAGCACAGUAAGAGCUUGCUCUUACGGGUGGCGAGUGGCGGACGGGUGAGGAAUACAUCGGAAUCUACUUUUUCGUGGGGGAUAACGUAGGGAAACUUACGCUAAUACCGCAUACGACCUACGGGUGAAAGCAGGGGAUCUUCGGACCUUGCGCGAUUGAAUGAGCCGAUGUCGGAUUAGCUAGUUGGCGGGGUAAAGGCCCACCAAGGCGACGAUCCGUAGCUGGUCUGAGAGGAUGAUCAGCCACACUGGAACUGAGACACGGUCCAGACUCCUACGGGAGGCAGCAGUGGGGAAUAUUGGACAAUGGACGCAAGCCUGAUCCAGCCAUACCGCGUGGGUGAAGAAGGCCUUCGGGUUGUAAAGCCCUUUUGUUGGGAAAGAAAAGCAGCAGGUUAAUACCCCGCUGUUCUGACGGUACCCAAAGAAUAAGCACCGGCUAACUUCGUG